UGUUUUCCGUAACCCACCUUUGUUAAAAUCAAGGGUAAAUAGUUAUUUUUGCUCAAAUUUUAUGUAUAUGCAAGAGAAAUAAGAUCAAAAGGAAGGGUUUUAGGAAAAUUAAUAUUUGGUGGUUUCAUUGGCUCCCACCUCUGCGAAAAGCACAUGGUGGAGACACCGCACAAGGUGUUGGCUCUCGAUGUAUACAGCAACAAGAUCAAGCACCUUCUCGAGCCCGCAGGUGCUCACCCUUGGUCCAAUAACAUCCAGUUCCACCGCCUCAACAUCAAGAACGACUCUCGCCUCUAAGGCCUCAUCAAGAUGUUAGAUCUGUGGUUGCUCCCUAGGCAAUAGACUGUAUGGUACCUCCCACCUCUGCUUCUGUGCAUCAAUAAUGGACCCUCAAUCGAUCUUGCGUCUCAUGCCUAUACAAAAAUCAAGAAACAUCAAACAGCUGAUCGAGAGGUGCAUUUUCAAAAAUAAGAGAACUAGAGGAAGAGUAGUAGGGGAUAACAUACUUGACAAAGAGCUGCAAGUGAGGAAUAUCAGGGCUGUAGACAUUGUUGUUCUUGAUGACAACGAGGUGGCCCACAAGGCCUCCAUCAGGGGUCUCCUCAAUGGAGAUGAGACGGUAGCCUUGGCCAAUCUUGGUUUGUGUAGGUUGAUCUGGGUUUUAUUUUUUUGGGUAUGUUUUUCACGUUCAAGAUUUAUGUGAAUGAAAAGAGAGACCAAUAUCACUUUAUGAUUUUGUUUA